AAAAAGGGCUUCUGUCGUGUGUGGCACGGGGGCGGGGCUAGCCCCACUCCCGCGGAAUCGACAUCAAGAGAUUUCGGAAGCACAAUUUUUGUAAAGGUGGGCUGCUGGUAACCGUCUGUUCCGGUGCCCCA